UCAGGUAGAUCGGGUUCGGUACCCCGGUGCGCACCCGGGUUCUUUUCAUGCGAACUUUAAGGCUUAAUAUAAUUUAAACGGAGGAGUUAUAGAAAAAUUCACUCACAGCUGGCAUAAAAAAUUGGAUGACAUGGGGGCGUGUCGAUCACUGAGAUUUCUCUUCCGAUCCUGACUGUAGGUUUCGUCUGAGAGACUGUAGAUUCAAAGACAUUUCUGCUGAUGAUGGUGUUUCCAGAGGCACUUUCCCCACAUCCGGUUUUUCCCAGAUGGAUCUGGUGUUUCCCCUUAGGAAUCACAUCAAUCUCAUCCGGAUCUUCUCCUGACACUACAAAGAUCACAUCACUCAUCAGCAUCACAUCACAUUACAUCACAUGAAGUUUAAUUAAAUAAAUCUGAAUACUCGAUUCUGAUUGGCUGUUCAAACCGUGUUCAAAAACCUUAAGUCGAGGUAAUCAGAGUGAUGCUAGUUUCACUUCAACUUAAAGAUGCUAUGAUAUGUAAUAACCUCAAAGCUUCUGCUGAGAAAAAAAAAGAUAAGCUAAAAAAAUAUUUAAACUCAAAUGAAUAUUUAUACUUAUGUGACAAUUAGUCAUGUAAAUAUGAUCCAAACAGUUAUUAUUACAAAAUAAACCUCAGCUUCAAUUCGGGCUAAUAAAUAUUUACAUGAAACUAUUCUCUUAAUAAUAUCAGUGUUAUAAUAUAAUAGUAUUAUUGAAAUAAUUGACAAUCAGUGUUGGGUAAGUUACUCUAAAAAACUCUGAGCUACUACGUUAAUUAUUAGCUAUAUUACAUCUUCACCAGUGUAAUUACUGUACUUAUUACUUUUUCUAAAAAGUAUUGCACCAAUACAAAGUACCAAUACAAGGAUAGACAUGAAACUGACCUUUCAAUUCUUUCAAAUAAAUAUAAAAUUAUUUGUGAACUGACUGAAGUAUGUAAAGGGAGAAGGUUACAUUACAGCAAUUACACUGUAGUCACACCCAACACUGCUUACAAUUGAUAAGCUUGUCCAUGCUGCCACUUCGUUUGACACAUGUCCCGCUGUUCUCCGUCCUCGUUCCUUUAAUCUUCUGCAGUAGUUCUUUCAUCUCCAUCUUCUCUUUAUUCAGAUCUGGAUCCAGGAGAUCUGGACAAUCAAUCACAAACACCUGCUUCUCUUCGAUCUGUCUGUCUUCAGCUUCAUGCCUCUUUUUCUGUUUAAAUCUCUUUUCUCCAGACGAGUUUUUCUCAGAACCAUUUCUGCCCAUUAGAAGAAUCUGCAUCACUAGAUCAUCUGGACUGGAGCUGAUUGCUGAAAGAGACAAAAAACAUGAAGAAUCAUAGACCUGUAAAAAAAAUAUGGAAAAUAAGUCAUUUUUCUGCUUGGUGUGAAGGUGACGCUGCAGGCGCGUGUUCUGCAUUUGCAAAAGAAAAAUCUUAAUGCUGGUUUGCAUUGUUUGAAGACUUCAUGUUGUCCAGACAGAACACUGAAGUCUCACUUAAAUUAUAAUCCACAUUUUUCUCUUUACUGAAUGUGCAUAAAUAUGUGGUUCUGUAAAUGCAAAAUAGAAUAUGGAUAUAGAUAUAUAGAAAACACCACACAGCAUGUGUAGCUUAUUUGACAAAUUACUUAACAAUAGAUAAAUAAAUAUAACUCUUUUUCUUACAGUACUUAUAUAAGUUCGAAUGGAUUUCCAAUAACAAAACAUAAAAGAACUGAAACUGCAGGAACUGCCCACGUGGGCGUGGCUGCUGCGCAUGGUCUGAUAAAAACAACAUUCAGAUAAAAACAACUUUAGAGCGCAUGCGCCGCCCGCUCUCAGCCAAUCUGACAGGAAAACAACUUUUAAAAGGCAGUGAGUGUGCAGAGAAUUACAUUCCAAAAAAAGUAGUGUGCAAAAAACAUCACAGUAGUGUGCAAAAAAAAACAAAAAAAAAAAACAUCUGUAUGCAAAGAACUAGUGUGCAAAAAAAAACAUCUGUAUGCAAAGAACUAGUGUGCAAAAAAAAAACAUCUGUAUGCAAAGAACUAGUGUGCAAAAAAAAACAUUUGUAUGCAAAGAACUAGUGUGCAAAAAAAAAAAACAUCUGUAUGCAAAGAACUAGUGUGCAAAAAAAAAAAAAAAAAAAAAAACCUGCAAAAAACGUUAGUGUGCAAAACCAUUGCAGUAGCUACUGUUGCAAAAACGUACAAGUGAAACACAUUUCAUAAUUUCAUACCUUAAACGGAUCCUUGUCCUAACUAAAUCCGAAGCAAAAUAGAACUGAAGGAAUCUCUGCAAAACUUGCAGGGAAGGAGCGUGUUGACAGCUAAAGCACGACAGAAAUACAGUCUGUUCCCUACUGAGAAAACAGGGAGGAGCCUGGAAUACAAACAUCCACCAGAGGGAGGAGUAAUGUUAUAUAAGAUUUCUGCUCGAUCAGUUCUUCAAAAACUAAUAUAGUGACAGAAGUAGGCUACAUGUAAUUCUGCAACUUAUUUGAAAGUAAAAGUUGAGCAAAAUACUUAACUAGAGUUAAAUAGUAACUCUUACGCAAGUUCUGUUUUUAUAUGGGGUCAAAAUCUGACAGAACUGAAAGUGAUAAUAUUCGACAUGCCUCUGAUGCCAGGGUUUUGUUAACAUUCUCAGCUUAGAGAUAGUUGACAAUGUUAACAAAACUCUGGUGGUAUGUCGAAUAUUAUCACUUUCAGUUCUGUCAGAUUUUGACCACGCAAAAAAAAAAAAAAAAAAACUACAGAGAUUUUUGAGUUUUACUCUAUUUAUUUAUUUAUUUUUUUGCCAAUUUAAAAUACAAGGGAAAUUCAAUUGGAUAAACACAGUAAAUUAAGUUUAGUUUACUAAAAAAUUAUUUUGCAACAUCUGACUACAAACAAGUGCAUUGUUUCCAGAAUGUGUUAAGAGAUUUUCGGUUUGUGAAGGCGGAGCAUACAUGAAUAUUAAUGAGUUUCGCAGACAUGCGCGAUUGCACGUGCAACUGAGAAUUUUAGUUCACAUUGUAUCUCAAGACAAUAGUGGAUUAUUCUAUAAAGGUAACUAUAUUCUCAGCGUCGCGGCUGAACACUACAGUUGUUUACAUAAUGUUUUCAUUAGUUUGCACGAUUUGUGCAGUCGUCUGUAACUGAAUAACAGAUUCUUCGUGUAUCAGCAGAGCAACCUUCAGCUAUCAUCUUCAAUGAGUUCAGCUCGUUGCUCUUCCUUUGUACCUUGCAAUGUUUUAAAACUCAGUAUUUUACUAGUUAUUAUCAUUACAUCACUGCCUGUAACAACUGAAAUAAACCUGUUUAAAUGUU